rnacentral:rRNA from 1 species
GAUGAACGCUGGCGGCGUGCCUAAUACAUGCAAGUCGAACGCAUUGUGGUUGAAAUGAUAUGAAGAACUUGUUCAGAUUUGAUUUUCAACAUUGCAAUGAGUGGCGAACGGGUGAGUAACACGUGGGAAACCUACCUCUUAGCAGGGAUAACAUUUGGAAACAAAUGCUAAUACCGUAAUAAUAAUUAAAACCGCAUGGUUUUAGUUUAAAAGAUGGUCUUGCUAUCACUAAGAGAUGGUCCCGACGGUGUAUUAGUUAGUUGGUGAGGUAAUGGCUCACCAAGACAAUGAUACAUAGCCGAGUUGAGAGACUGACCGGCACAAUGGGACUGAGACACGGCCCAUACU